UACGUAGGGGGCGAGCGUUGUCCGGAGUUACUGGGCGUAAAGCGCACGCAGGCGGUCAGAUCAGUCUGGAGUGACAGUCGUCGGCUUAACCGACGAAGUGUUCUGGAAACUGUCUGACUUGAGGGCUUCAGAGGGACACGGAAUUCCGGGUGGAGUGGUGAAAUGCGUAGAUAUCGGAGGAACACCAAUGGCGAAGGCAGUGUCCUGGGAAGUACCUG
rnacentral:rRNA from 1 species